rnacentral:rRNA from 1 species
CACGUAGGCACCAAGCGUUGUCCGGAUUUAUUGGGCGUAAAGAGCUCGUAGGCGGUUCGGUAAGUCGGGUGUGAAAACUUUGGGCUCAACCCAAAGCCUGCACUCGAUACUGCUGUGACUUGAGUCCGGUAGGGGAGUGGGGAAUUCCUGGUGUAGCGGUGGAAUGCGCAGAUAUCAGGAGGAACACCGGUGGCGAAGGCGGAUCUCUGGGCUGACACUGACGCUCAUGCACGAAAGCGUGGGGAGCAAACAGG